CCCGCUGAACUUAAGCAUAUCAAUAAGCGGAGGAAAAGAAACUAACAAGGAUUCCCCUAGUAACUGCGAGUGAAGCGGGAAAAGCUCAAAUUUAAAAUCUGGUGGCCCUUGGUCAUCCGAGUUGUAAUUUAGAGAAGCGUCUUCCGCGCUGGACCAUGCACAAGUCUCCUGGAAUGGAGCGUCAUAGAGGGUGAGAAUCCCGUCUUUGGCAUGGAUGCACCAGGGCUUCUGUGAUGCGCUCUCGAAGAGUCGAGUUGUUUGGGAAUGCAGCUCAAAAUGGGUGGUGAACUCCAUCUAAAGCUAAAUAUUGGCGAGAGACCGAUAGCGAACAAGUACCGUGAGGGAAAGAUGAAAAGCACUUUGGAAAGAGAGUGAAACAGUACGUGAAAUUGUUGAAAGGGAAACGCUUGAAGUCAGUCGCGUCGACCGAGACUCAGCCUUGCCUUGGCUUGGUGUACUUCUCGGGUGACGGGUCAGCAUCAAUUUUGCCCCUCGGAUAAUGACAAGGGAAAGGUAGCACCUUUAUAGGUGUGUUAUAGUCUCCUGUCGCGUGCGAGGGUUGGGAUUGAGGAACUCAGCACGCGCCUUUUGGUGUCGGGGCUUCGGCCUACGUACGUGCUUAGGAUGCUGGCAUAAUGGCUUUAAACGACCCGUCUUGAAACACGG
rnacentral:rRNA from 1 species